CCUGUUGUUGGGUGACAUCUCGAUGUCUCGGCGCCCAACCUUUAUGCCCCAAGGUCCUUAACCGUUAAGAUAACCUUGUUAAGCAAACCAACCCUUAUGCGUGUAAGUGUCCGACACAAACCCGUCUAGUCAAGGAAAACUAGUGGCACCCUAAUUUCAUAAACCCACCACUAAUUGUAGAAGACAUGGGACGGUGCAAGUUUUAGUUGGGAGGGCAUACUAACUUAAACUUUGUGAGGGAUCGUUCUACUUCUAACAUCACAGCAUGUAGAAUGUAAAACAUAAACAGAAUAGCAUUCACAUAGUUGUGACACAGUAUGGCCCAUUUUCAUAUGGUGAUCUCCAUCUCCAUAGAACCUGUUCACCAUGGUGAUCUCCAUCUCCAUGUUCCAUGUGCGCCAUCCUCCUGGUGAUGAGUCCUCCAAGAACUAGAACAUGCUAUUACGCCUAAUAGCUAGUAAAGAAGCUAGUAAUGAAGAUUACAUAGUUGCUUGGAUCAUCACAGAUUGGUACGCGGACCAUUAAAUACAAUAAAGUGACAACACAUAUGGCUCCUGCCGUGUUGCCGUACGCGCGACACGCAGGUCACGAAUGAGUUACACACAUGCAUCAUAUACACAAAGGGCCAUACUGAUCACAAGAUACAUCAUCCUGCAAAACAAAGUUAAGCGUCCUAACGUUCCAAAAUUCAGAUGCCCAAAACUCUAUCUUCCAAGCCGAAUUUGGGAAAUCUAAUUUCACCAAAAAUGGCAAAGCCAUUGAAUUUCAUGUGUAAAUUUUUCUGUAGAUCAAUUUUUAUAUAAAAUUCACCCCGAUCCGAGAUCGUACCGAAAAGUUACGGCUGAUUUACUGAAGCAUACGCAUACGGCAAAAAUCCCGACCCCGGCUGUAGAUCCCAUCUACUUUUGCACAUCUAAUGCCCCUGGCGUAUGACCCUGGAUUUCGAUUCAACCAAUCAUAUUGAUCUUCGCUCACUGCAACUAGAUUUACGUGUAUCACUUAACUCCGAUGGCGGAAACCGACCGGUAGGAGUAUGUCGUUACACUACCAUUGCAGCAAGAGCACGAAACCAGGACAUAGAUCAAACUGAAAACUCGCAUAUCUCCAUAUGCACACAUCCUGAAUCCAAAACUAAAUAGCUACGGCUCUGAUACCACUGGAGGGAUACGAGGUAGGCUACACUAGCGCAAAUCAAAAUUUCUACCGCGUAAAACCAGGAAGAACUGCCGUAUAAGGAUCACGGGAUUACCACUCGACGCACUACUGGUGCGGAAGAUGUAGAUUUGCGUCGAUGCAGGGAAGACGAUCAACGUAGUCGUACGUAGUUGAUCAACAUAGUCGUACGUAGUCGAUCACGUCAACAUCCAGCAGCUCCUCAGCAGCUCGUCCACGUGCAGCAAGAUCGCCCUCAUGCCGCGGCUCGUCGUGGCUCGGCGGCGGCUCGCCCAAGUGCUGCAGGCACAACACCUCCAAGGUAUCCAUACGUGCAGGGAGGAAGCAUCGCAAGCCGGACUGCUAGAUCCGCGAGUUGCAACAGGCAAGGGCGUGGGAGGCGUGGCAGAUGUGUUUCGCCAAAAGGUGUCAACCCUAGGGCGCCUCCACCCCUCUAUUUAUAGAGGUUCCUGACGGGCCUCUGGGUCCGAGGCCCAUUAGUACUUCUAAACCUAAUCCAACUCGGAUCUGAUCCGAAUUGGGCUUCCAGCCCCUUAAGUGUGUGACCCUAUGGGUUCGGAUACGCAUAGACAUGGCCCGAGUACUCCUACUCGGCCCAAUAAUCGGUAGCGGCCUCUAGCAAGACGUGCCAACUCCUAUACGCACACGAAGAUCAUAUCAUAUGAACCAUCACAACAUAAUAUACAUGCUAUUCCCUUUGCCUCACGAUAUUUGGUCUAGCUUCAAGCCGACCGCUCUUUCUCGAUCCUGUGAUUCGGAAUCCCUUUGUAGGUUAACUCUUAACCGUACGUAGCAUGGCCAUGCAUUUUCGGAUCCGAUCACUCGAGGGGCCCAGAGAUAUCACUCUCAAUCAGAGAGGGGCAAAUCCCAUCUUGAUUGACCAUGUCUCAUAGCAUGCUUCUUGACAAACCUGAAAGCUACCUUUGUAACUACCCUGUUACGGCGUAGUGUUUGAUAGCUCCUAAGUAGGUCGAUCCACAUCUCGAAUACAUGCGACAAUCUCAGGUCCAAGGACAAAGCGUAUAUGUUGUUUAAAGAGAGAACUACUUCUCGUGUUUGGUCAGUCCUAGCACAUGUCUCCAUAUGUGUUCACAUUAUUAGUUCAACAUCUCCAUGUCCAUGACUUGUGAAACAUAGUCAUCAACUAAUACAUGUGCUAGUCUAAUAUCCAUGUGUGUCCUCACAUGAACUCCGACUAGGGACAACUUUAGAAUAACCAUACAAGUAAAGAGUUUCACAUACAAUUCAUAUAAUUGCAAAUCAAUUCAAGUAGCCUUUAAUGGAUAUUCAAUGAACACAAUACACAAAUCAUGCAUACAAAUGGAAUAUCAUCAUAUCUAUGAUUGCCUCUAGGGCAUACCUCCAACAUUGAGGAACGUUGGUGUUGCUGGUUCAAUGAACAUUAUCUCAAGAAGGGCGAGCUUCUGGGACCGCUUAGUAUCAGUACCUGGUGUGUCGCCAAAAAUGACAUUGAUGGUGUUGGAUGGGUUUUGGAAUUUGACAUUGUCACCAUCGUCUUCAUCCUCCUUGGCCGUGCCCUUAUCAUUAGUAUCAGAUGGCUUCGGCAGGUCUUUCAUGACUGUAACAAUCCAUCGUAGAGUGCUUGUGGUACGGGUGCCAUGGGCACUGCUUCUUCAAGAGCUCGCUGAACGGGGUCCUAUCUUGAUUCAUGCCGCCACCUUUCUUUUAUGAUGGAGACAUUGCCACGAUAGUAUUGUCUAGCUUUCACUUGCGGUUCUGACCUCCUGAGUAGUUAUUUCGGUUGUCAUUGCUAGGGCGAUCGUUGCAGUUCUUAUUGUUGCAUUGGCCAUUGUUCUAAUUAUUGUUGUUCUGGCACUUGUUGCGAUUAGACUCGAACCUCUCGAUCUCCCUAUCUUCUUCAUCUGCCCAUGCCUGCACCAUGUUCUUAAGAGACUUGACAUCACUAGGGCGUCUUCUCCCAAAGUCCUAGAACAUCCAGCGAUCAUAGAGACCAUUUUGGAAGCAAUCUAUGACAUCGCGCUCCGUGAUGUCCACAAUUGUGGCUUUCUUGUUGAAGAAGCGACGUAAGUAACUGCGCAGGGUCUCGACUUCUUAUUUCUUGACUUGAGACAAGUCAAUCCUAUUGCUAGGAUGCUACAUUGCCCCUGCAUAGUUGUCGGGGAAUGCCACCUUGAGAUCCUUCCACGUGUCGAUGGAGUUCUUAUCUAGUGAUUCGAGCCAUGUGAGUGGCGCUGCCUCCAUGCAGAUGGGGAAGUAAAUGACCUUCGUGUCAUCAUUUCCCCCUGCUGUCUGUAUUGAGAGUAAGUAGCACCGCAGCCAUUGGACUGGGUCUUGCUUGCCAUUGUAGUUGGUGAUACCCGGAGGUUUGAACUUUUCGGGUAGAAUUGUCCUCAUUACACAUCUUGAGAAGGUGGGGGAACUCGUAAGAAUCUUCACCUGGGUACUCAACUUUCUGCUUGUGCUCACAACAACGUUCGUCAAUGAUGGUACGGGUGUCGCGGCCUAUGUUAAUCUUGUUACGAAGAUCCUCAAGCUUUGCGUUGGCCCCACGGUGGCCACAGUCUCCCGAGACUCCCGCCAGACUACCCGCUACUCUAGCUUGUUUUGGUCUAGCGCCUACAAUUUGACUUCGUCUUGAUGGAGUGCGCCUAUGGCUACUGCCAUGUUGACUACGCUGGGAUAUGGUGUGUUGAACUAAAUGUAUCGGGUUUUGCUAAUCAAGUUGUUUGUACGCACACUUUACCAAUUCAGCCAAUUGUCUGGUGUACUUGUCCUAUGGCAUUGCGAGGGUAACAAGAUCAGUGGACGCAAUGGUUGCAAGAGGAGUACGAUGUUGACGCGAUUGAACUGCUUCAAAUGUGUUAUCUAGGUUCAUGAUCAGCAAGUUUGCUACAAGGCGGCGGCGCCGCUCUGCUCUUAUGGUGUUUCUUGCUCAUUGUCGAGUUUUUUGAGCUUUAGUCUCUUCUCCAGCAAUGUUAGCAGUGAGUUCAUCCUACAAGACAUCAUCCGGGUGACGUUCAUGGUGCGGAUUUCUCUCUGGUAGCUCUUCAUCUUCGCCUUCUUGUCCAGCAAUGAGAGUGAAGAGUUCUCAUUCUCAAGAGUAGCUUCCUGAGCUUGACGUGAUGACCUACGUGGAGCUGCCUUGUUCGUAUAUGGGCGACAGAGGAUCUGCCUCUUGGUAUGGGAGGGUGUCAAGGUAGGCGAUAAGGCGUGAAUCAUCGUCCUUAGCGAGAGUGGGUGGCUUCAUGCUUGGCCAGUAGAUGAAUCUGCCUUGUGGAUUCGAUAUGAUUAUCAAGCCCUGCUGUGGAUCUGAUAAAGGGGUCUCCUCAUCCGGGUUCGAGUGGUAGUCGAGCUUCUCGAUCAUAUCCGUGUCGGAUUGCGAUCUAGAUACGGUAGCAUGGUCAAUAGCAACCUGUUUUGGAGUCCGAACAGGAGAUGAUUUGGGUCGUCGUCCAAUUCGCACAAUGGCUUAAGCGGUGACUCGUGAAAAUCAGUCUGACUGGCGGGAGAAGUCGAGUUGUACUCGAACUCGUCCCCCAGCCUCUGACUAAGUCAGAAAUUGAAAUUUUGCCAAAAUUUUUGACGAGAUCGUACAGAGCAUGAUGGCAUGCUGCUUCUUCUCUGGGGCUGGUGCAGUGUGGUGGUAGAAGUUUCCAGCAUCGUCUGCGACGUAAACCUAGGAGCCGAAGAUUAUUGUUGUGCCUACUUCGAAAGUGACAAUUGGCUUGAUGAUGACUUGGGCCAUCGAGUUUGCUAGUGGAUUCUCAGCGAGAGCCCCUACCUGGCGAGCAGUUGUCGGUGUUUACACCCGGCAACCUACCGAGGGGGGUGCCUGAGGUAGUGUUUUGUUAAUGGGGCUUGCUGAGAUCAGGAACUCGAAGGUGAACACAGACACAUGAUUUAGACAAGUUCGGGCUGCUAGAUUGUGUAAUACCCUACGUCCUGUGUGUUGGUUGGAUUGAAUUGCUUUGGAGGGGUCCCUGUCUCGCCUUGUAUUGCCAGGGGUAGGGUUACAGGUCGGUUGAUUUACAAGAAUACUAGUUGGAUUCGACUAGGCGAGUCCUACUCUAAUUGCUACGAGUACUUUUACUUAUCCUCGACUAGUUCCUAUCCUACCAUGUAGACCACGCCGUCCUGCACCGUAGUCUCCAUGUCAGACACGUCUCGGUGUCCAGCCCUGCAUCUAGGACUAUCCAAACCUUCUGGUAGGCUCAUAGAUGUAUGUACGAUACCUCGAUCAACUAGCAUCCGAGAAAUUUGCUUCCCAUCUAUUUUUUUCAUGCGGAACAAGUCGCUAAUGAAAGCUACAAUGCAUGGAUAUGGUCUUCCAUCUACCACAAAUAUACAGGUGGGAAUUAGAUUCAGUACUAACGCUAGCAUUAGUAAAUGCCUGGAGACCCUUUAGUAUUACUUACGAAACACCAACAGUGCUCAUUGCUAAUGUAUAGGCAAAAGGAAAGAAUCUCUUACCUUUAAUAAAAUGUCUCCACGGGGACCAUGCUCCGGUGCAGUACUGCACGUGCAGUGACUACCACUUAUGUGGCCGUGUGGGCCCAUGCGUCAGUAGCAGUUACUGCACGUGCAGUAUUGCACGGGAUCAUUGUCCAUCUCCAUAGGUGAAUUCAAAAGGAAAGAACCUCCUACCUUUCGACCUGCAGUGUAAGUAAGAUGCUAAGUAAGCGAGCUUAGGUGACGUGUUCAUUCUGCCCAAAAAAUCCUUCCCGAGGUUUAAAAUACUUUUUCCGAUAAGUUUUUGGACAAACCAACGUAGAGAAUUCAGCAACCAUCAGCCAAACUAUGGAUGCGUUUAGAAUUCAUUGCUGCAGAUCGAACUGCCUUGGAACUCGCGAGGGUACCUGAUGGAAAUUCCUGUCUGCUUUCACUAUCAACAUGAGCUGGGCAUGGAUGAAGUAUAUGAAUGUUGGAACUUUGGUAUCUGUAACUGGCUCCGAUCAUACAUCACAGUAUACAGUUAGUUAAAUGUUUUUAACUAUAUAUAGCAUUGACUUUGAAAUGAAUGAUCGAGAUCGAACUCUAUAUAGAAAACUAAAAAUUUCGAUCGAUCAGUUCGAAGAUAUUUAUGGAUCAGCUCGAUCAGCGGCUAACAUGUGUACCCUCAACUAUUUUUUUAAGGGAAGGAGUAGAGGUUCCAAGGUCGUUGGAGUGACAUCCACAAACAGCUGUUAUGUAUAACACUGAUGCAUUCAAAACAAAAUAUAAAACAGACAGAGCAAAACAUAUCUCACGGAGCAAGUUCUGUUCCAUGCAGCAGGAACGAAAUAGAAAAUCAUUGCAGCCACAUCUAUAGGCCUCCACCAACUGCAGUCGAAGUCAUCUGCUGGCAUCGCUUGCUCCGUUGAGGACGGACUUAGACUUUUCUCAUCAAUAAUUGCAACCAUUAUUAUCUUAAAAUCUGGAACCACGUAGAAAUAUAUUUUAUGCUUCAUGUGGAAAUGUGGAUCAUUCUACCGCGCCUUCCCUUCACCAAUUCAUCCGAUACUCUCAAAAAGUAGGCCAUCGGAUCAUUCAGUGGGCCUGUUCAGGCUGUAGUCAUCAGAUGAUCUGAUGCCUUUGGCCGACAACCAUUGGAUCAUCUGGUGCUCGAGUUGUACCAAUAAUUGCUCACACGCUUACCCCGGUGCACUGUCAGAUCAUCCGGUUCUUCAUGUUUUUCUAAGUUGAAUACCGCCAUUUGAACACCAUGACUACCGUAACUUGGAUGCUCUAAAAUUAUUUUAUCUCUGAAUUUUUUUUUGUCAUUUGGAUCACGCCAUUGUUUGGUUUGUAUUAUUCGGACCUAUAAAACCUGAAAAGGAAUGGGAAAUGAGGUGGGAUUCGUACUUCAAACCGAUACCCAUGUUUGGCGUGACAUAGGAUAUGGAAUGGGAAUUGUUGGGGAUCGCCCCACAACACACCUUGAACGGCGCUGGCGGGGACCCUCUCUCUCAAUCGACUCCAACCUCAUCACCUUCCCUCCUUACGAAGCUAGUAGAUAACCAAAGUCAACUAUCACGAAGGUGUCCACUCUGUUGUUUUUGCAGGCAAGGACUCGUGAAGUUAAAUCCCACAUGGAGCCCUCGGCGGUUUGGCUUCGGGAAGAUUCCAUGACCAGAAGCCGAAGUUAGCUGACUUCGACCAAGAAGGCGGGAAGUCUGCGGAGGCUCGCUCGGUCUUGACGAAGCUUAUGAAUGCGGAGGAGGGUAAUCAAGACAGCCCCGGGACCACUUUAUAGCAGGACGACUCUGUAAUAAGAAUCUUGUAAAAGGUUGGAUAUGUAAUUCUACCGUGAAAGAGACAUUUUGGGUAGGAAUCAAGUUACUGUCCUGUAUGGAAUAUUCUUAGGAUGUAGUAGUUGAGUAUGGGUAUAACGGGGAUGCGGAAAUGUAACUUUAUGGCCCUAUAAAGGGAGACGAACCGUCCCCCCGGGGAGGGCAUUAAUCACUGAUAGGAUAGCUCUUGUUAUUGUCUGAACGGCCGUUAUCUUCGUUUGUCGGGACGUUCUUACUAUUGCUUGGUUCAACCCCAACAUUUGGCGCCCACCAUGGUCUAACCCGUUAAACAGCCCACGAUGCCACCACAACGGAAAAAGAGACCCGUAGCUCAGAGAGAAGACAACACGGUAGAGGCCGAUCAGCUUAUGGCCUCUGAAGCCACAGAUCAAAUCCUCCCCGACAAGGAGGAACGUCUUGCAAGAGUCGAACAAGCCCUAAGGGCUAAAGCAAUGAGCAACCAGCCCGCAGCCGAAGUCAACCACCAAAGCCAACAACCUGUGGCAAACGAAGCUGCCAACCGCACUGACGGCCGCCAGCCCGCAACACCCGAAGCUACUGGCCCCUCCAACCUAGACAACGAACUGGACUCAGUUCUCCGAGAGAUAGAAGAAGUCAAAAGAAAAAAGGAGCAGUUGGCACGACAAGUGCAGCACCAGAGGGAGGCUGCGGCCAGGCUAUCAAAGCUCAACGAGGCCAGGUGGCAGCUAGAAGCACUACAGAAAGAAGUCGCGGAGCUUGAAAGCCCACUCGAGAAUGCAAACCUGGCCACAGCUUAUUUUUAUCAAAUUCCCACUGUCGAUCAAGCACAGCUCCAGCCCAGCCUCAACUUCGGCCAAGGCACCCAGCACCACUCGUCGGGGGUGUCCCUUGUGGUCGACACCACAUCGCCACUCUCAAUAGGGCUACAAACUGUACCAUGGCCAACAACAUACAAAGCAACCACCUUGCCCAAAUUCAACGGGCGCACAGACCCACGGCAAUUCUUAAUGAGUUACGAAGCCGCUGUAGCUUCGGCCGGGGGGAUGAUGUCGUCCUCGCCAAAUAUUUCAUAAUUGCUUGUGAGGGUGCGGCGUUGAACUGGUAUUCAUUGCUUCCUCCACACACGGUGAUCUGCUGGCACGAUCUCAAGAUGAAGGUCACUCAAAAUUUCCAGGGUUUCCAUCACCCUCACACGGCCCAAGCAGACCUCUUUCAGUGCAAGCAAAAGGACAAGGAACCACUCGCAGAGUAUGUAAGAAGAUACGUCCAACUUCGUUCUCAAGCACCGCACAUUGAGGAAUCUGUAGCAAUAUCCGCUUGCAUCGCGGGCCUAACCCCCGGCCCAACAGCGUCAAAACUGUCAAGGAAGGAGCCCAAAACUAUGACUACCCUCUUCAGCAAACUCGAUGAAUACAUCAGGUCCGACGAGGACCACCGCAGAAGAGUGGCGGAAAGCAACAAAGAGAGACAAACAAACCAAAGCCAAAGCUGGCAACCUUCGCCUUACAACAAGCCUCAAAACCCAAAACAAAACCAAAACCAUAUCAUGAACAUCGAGGGAAACCAAAACCAAAGCUAGAGCCAAAACCAAAACAACAAUACCCAAAGAGGGGGCCACUCUGGCAGAGGACGAGGUCAAGGAAGACAACAAAAGUCAUUUUAUUGUGUCAACCACGGCCAUCAGAAUCAUCACAACACAGAGUGGUGCCCCAAAAAGAAGGAGGAGGAGAGAAAAGCUACGGACGAAGCUACGAAGGCAGCCGCGCAGGCACCCAAAACAAUCCACCACAGAGCUUUUUACCCACACCCAAGCUUCUACCACAACCAGCCCAGCUUCGCCAACUUUCCGCAACCGAUGACUUGGCCUCUUCCACCACAUAUACAGCCGUACCACCAAACAAUUCCACAGCAACCUGCCUCAAAAGCCCCAAGAAACACUACCUCCACCCCCAAGCAUGCCAGCCAUAAUGCCCAAGCCGGAACCCAACACACAAAACAACAACCAAAAUUCCUUGCCUACCUUCGGGAUGAUAAUGCCAAUCAUCGGAGGCUCCUCACUAAAGUUUGAAAACAAGAGGCAGAGGCGGAAUUACUUCAGAGAGGUCAACGUGAUCAUUCCCGAUAGACCUCCAACAAAGCCAGAAUGGGCACACAUGCCCAUAACCUUCACUGGAGAAGAUUUCAAGCUCAAGACAACCUCGCAUAAUGAUGCGAUGGUUAUGAAAGCAUUGAUAGCGGGCUGGACGGUAGGAAAAGUCCUGGUAGACACAGGCAGCUCCGUGGACAUUCUCUUCGCAAAUGCAUUCAGAGAAAUGAACAUUGACAUGAACACGCUCGACCCAGCUGAUGUCCCGCUCCUCGGCUUCGGUGGAAAGCCAGUAAAGGCCUUGGGAAAAAUUGCUCUCCCAGUUUUGUUCGGGGACCGUGAUAAUGCGAGGACAGAACACAUCACCUUUGACGUGGUGGAGAUGCAUUACCCCUACAACGCAAUACUCGGCCGUGGCUUCAUCACCAAAAUGGACGCAACAAUUAGACAGUUGUACCUAUGCAUGAAAAUACCCGCCCUCAGAGGGGUCAUAAUAGUUUACGGUGAUCAGCAAAUGGCAAGGAACAUAGAAAAAUGGGUAGCUCCGGGCCAAAAGAAUGUCCACCAUCUAGCCUCGUCAAAUGAAGCUGAAAGCCCAGCAAAGCAAAAGGCCCAUGACGAGCCUAAGAGAGAUAAAGAGAAGAUAAAAAUCAGUGCGGACGGCGAAACAAAGUGGGUACUCCUAGACGGGUACAUCACAGACAGAUUCGUCACAGUCGGGGCAAACCUCAACCCAGAUGAAGAGCGUGACCUCGUAAAGUGCCUCAACAAGAACAAAGACAUCUUCGCUUGGUCCGCAAGUGAUCUCAAGGGAGUGGACAGGGAAAUCAUUGAGCAUAGCCUCGACAUCAGACAAGGAGCUCGGCCAAAGAAACAGAAGCUAAGAAAAAUGUCUGACAAGAAAGUCCAAGCAGUAAAGGCCGAAGUUGAUAGGCUACUGUAGCCAACAUAAUCAGGCCAAUCCAGUACCCCGACUGGCUAGCCAACACAGUACCAGUUAAAAAGAAAAAAUGGCAAAUGGAGAAUGUGCAUAGACUUCACAAACCUUGACAAGGCCUGCCCAAAAGACGACUACCCUCAUGAAAGAAUUGACAAGGUGGUAGAUGACGCUGCAAACAGCGAAAUGGUCUCGCUACUUGACCUCUUCUCAGGGUACCACCAGAUCAGAAUCAAAAAAGAAGACAAAGGCAAAACAAGCUUCAUAACACCCUUUGGAACAUUUUGCUUCGUCCGUAUGCCAGAGGGGCUAAAAAAUGCAGGCCAAACAUUCUCAAGAAUGACAGCAACAGUCCUGGACAGUCAGCUUCGGUGCAAUAUCCUGGCCUAUGUAGACGACAUCAUCGUAAAGAGCGCCAAACGAAGCGAUCACAUCAUGGACCUCACAAAAACGUUCGCUAACUUGAGGUCAGCCAACCUAAAGCUAAACCCAGACAAAUGUGUGUUCGGAGUCCAAAAGGAAAAAAUUUUAGGUUGCUUGGUAACAACGAUGGGCAUUGAGGCCAACCCGGACAAAAUCAGGGCGCUAGCCAACAUGUCAGAGCCAACCUCACUCAAACAAGUGCAACGGCUCACAGGCAGGGUCGCAGCGCUAAACCGUUUCAUUCCGAGAGCAGCAGAGCGAAGCCUUCCUUUCUUCAAAGCACUCCGAAGCUCCAAAACAUUUGAAUGGGGCCACGAGCAAAGCAAAGCAUUUCAGGACCUCAAGGAGUACCUGCAAUCCAUGAUGAAGCUAUGCCCACCAGAGCCCAAGUCACCACUGCUGUUGUACGUAUCAGCCUCAACAACAGCUGUCAGCACUACAUUGAUCCAAGAGAAAGAAAUCGAAGGCAAAAUCAAACAGAUACCAGUUUACUUCACAUCCGAAGCAUUGAGCAGUUCAAAAAUGCAAUACUCUAAGCUAGAGAAAAUCGCAUAGGCGGUUGUCAUGGCAGCACGGAAGCUACGACAUUACUUUGAGGGGCAUAAAAUAGUCGUAGUAACCAGCCAACUUCUCCAUGAUCUCUUCUCAAACAGGGAAGCUUCCAGCCGUAUCGCCAAAUGGGCGUCUGAGCUCUCGGAGUUCGUCGUUGAUUUUGAAAGGCGCAUGGCUAUAUCUGGCCAUGCAGCCCGCAGCACGAAAGCCCGGCGCGAAGCCCGUAUUUUUAGCCCAUACCUAGCCCGGCCCAGCCCGUAACUCUUCGAACUCGGGCUGGCCUGGCCCGCAUCAUCGUGCCGGACGUGGGCCGUUGCCUCGGCCCGACAGGUGGCACGGCCCGGCACAAAAAUGCUGUCCCCGGCCCGUUACCGGCCCGUCAAGCGAACAGCAGCCCAGCAGGCCGGCCCAGCAACGGUCGGGAGGGGGGCAUAUAUAAGCCCUUCGUGGCAGGCGACGCCCCCCCUUCGCAAACCCUACCCCAUUCUCCCCUCCGCCCGCCACCUCCUCGCCUCCUUAUCUCCUCCGCUGCGCGCCUGCGCUCCAAGCUCCUUGCCUCCUCAGCUCUUCCUGUCCCGGCGACAACCGACGACGACCGGCGCGCCGCCUCCUCGCCUCGACUCCUCCCGUCCUCCGCUCCCGGCUCACCUCCUAAGGCGUCAUGUCCGCGUCCGCGCCUCUGCCUGAGGCCUGACCGCCUCCCUGGCUCCCUGCCUCCCUAGUGCCUUCUGCCUUGCUGGCUUGCCACCGGCACCGGCGCAUCGCCUCUUCACCUCGACUCCUCCGCUCCCCGCUCCUUGACUCCUCCCGUCCUGCCUUCCUGGAUCUGAAUCUACAUCUAGAUCCUCCUGAUCCUUAGAUCUAGAUCCUCCUGAUCCCCUUCUUGUUCUCCUGAUCUUGUUCCUGUUGUCCUCUCCAGCCUGGGCUGAGCCGCUGAGGCAUCGCAGGUAUGUAGAUCCUCCUAAUCCUUUUCUUGUUCUCCUGAUGUAGAUCCUCCUGAUCAUGUUCUUGUUUUCCUGAUCCUCUUCUUGUAGGUAACUAGCUUCUUCUCCUGCUCGGGGCUCCGGCGUCGCAGGUAACUAACUGUCUUCUUGUUGUCCUCCUGAUCCCCUUAUUGUUCUGCUAUCUGCUAAUCCUCUAGUUGUUCCUGAUCUUGUUCUCCUAUUUUUCUUAAAGGUAUCCGUCGCCUCAUCGGGUGCCGCGCGCCGUUGAGUGACGGAGCGGUUGAGGCCUGACACCUGAGGGACGCCCCGACCCCCGGCUGCCGCCUGCCCCAGGAGGUCGUCAUGAUGGAUGAGAACUACACCAUCAACGACGACCUAAGGGCCUGUGGCCUGCCAGGUAACUUCUUUCUGAUCCUCUUCUUGUUCUUGUUCUCCUGAUCAUCUUCUUGUUCCUGUCUUCCUGAUCCUCUUCUUGUUCUGUUCUACCAGGCGAUGAUGAGGACGACCUGGCUGCCGGAGCCGUGCCACUCGUUAGUAGCUCUGUUGCUCCCGUCAAUGUGGAUGCUGCCGGUGCCGGAGGUACUGUUCCACCUUCUACCCCAUCUUCUACCCCAACUAUAUCAGCGGGCACCAGUGUCCGCAAGGGGAAACGGCGAUCUGCUGCCUGGAAUGACUUUGAGGAGUUGUUCCAGGAAGGCACCAACGGGAAGAAGGUAAGGUACGCUGCCAAGUGCCGUCAUUGUUCUCACAUUCUUACUAGCCGGUAUUAUGCUGGUACUGGCCAUUUGCUCCGGCACCAGAAGAUGUGCUUGGCUAAACAAAACCAUUCUUCUCUUGUUCAGUCGCAACUGCAAUUCCAUUCUGAUGGCUCGAUUAUUAAUUGGGAAUACAAGCUCGAUCUUGCUCGCAAAGAAUUGUGCCGGUUGAUUGCUAGACUUGAUCUUCCCCUAGGCUUUGGUGAGACAGAGGCAUUUGUGGAGUACAUCCAGCGUGCUCAUAACCCUCAUUUUGCUAAAGUUUCUAGACAGACCACUUCUAGAGAUCUUGCCAAGUUCUUUGUCGAGCGUCGUCUUUCUCUUCUUGAUACUUUGGAGUCUCAUGUUUUUCUAUUUGUCUUACUUCUGAUAUUUGGUCAGGGAAUGCCAAGGAGGACUACCUUAGUGCUGUUGCACAUUUUGUUUCUGCUGAUUGGGAAUUAGAGAAGAAAGUCAUUGCUCUUAGGUUGAUUGAUUGCUCCCAUUCUGGUGUUAACAUUGCUGAGCGUAUUGAACAAGUUGUUUCUGAGUUUGGUUUACAGGAUAAAAUUUUCUCUAUCACACUUGACAAUGCUUCUGCUAAUACUUCUGCCAUGUCCACACUUAUUCCCAAAUUUGUUGGUUAUCUAGGUCCAGAUCUGAACCUCUUGAUUCUGAUUCUGAUUCUGAUAAAGCACUUGUAGGUCUUUUGCAUCAACGUUGUGCAGGUCAUAUUAUUAAUCUCAUAGUCAAGUCUGGUUUGAAGAGGAUCAAGGCUUAUCUUGAGGCUUUUAGGACUGCAAUCUCUUUUUUGAACUCUUCUAAUCAACGCAUUGCAGCUUUCCAUAACUUCUGCAUUGUCAAGGGGGUACGCCCUCGUAAGUUUGGUUUAGAUAUGGAUGUGAGAUGGAAUUCUACAUAUCUCAUGCUCAAACAUCUACUACCAUAUAAGAAUGUCUUUUCUGUCUUUAUUUCUACUCAUUAUGUGCACAAUGGCCAGCCACUUCUGACUGAAAACCAUUGGGUAAUUGCUGAGAGAAUUUUGCUGUUCCUUGAAAUGUUUUAUGAUUCCACUGUUGCUUUAUCUGGUGUUUACUAUCCAACAAGUCCUUUGAUGUUGCAUCAUAUUAUUGAGAUUGCUGGCCAUUUGCAUGGCCAAGAUUCUGAUCCAUUGCUCAGAAAUAUUAUUGUUCCCAUGAAGCUUAAGUUUCUCAAGGAUUGGCAGAACAUACCUCUGUUGUAUUCCUUUGCAUUCAUUUUGGAUCCUAGAGCCAAGGUGAGAGGUUUUCAUAAUGUUCUCCAACUUCUUUCUCAGACAGUUGGUGUUGAUUACUCUUCUUAUUUUACUGAGGUAAGAACUCAAUUACAUAAGUUGUUUAACAAGUAUGAAAACAAGUUUGGUGCAGUUUGAUCGCAAAGGCCCGCUCAACCUUCAGCUACUACUAGUAAGAAAAGAACAGCAUGGGGUAAGAUCUUUGGUGGUCCUGGUUCAUGUGGUUCUCCUGUUCUUUCAUCUACACCUCCUAUAUCUCCUGCUUCAGAGUUGUCAUCCUACUUGGACAGUGAUACUAUUACUUGCUAUGACGAUGACUUCAACAUACUUAGUUGGUGGCAUGAGCACAAGCUAUCCUAUCCUAUUUUGUCCAUACUUGCUAAAGAUGUUAUAUUUGUUCCAGUUUCCACUGUUUCUUCGGAAUCUUGUUUUAGUCUAACUGGCAGGGUGAUUGAGGAGCGGCGCCGACGGUUGUUGCCGGAGACGGUGGAGAUGCUGACCUGCCUCAAGGAUUGGGAGUUGGGAGAUGCAAGGGCCCAACAUGAUGUUGAGAAGGAGGUCAAUGAACUGGAGGAAACUUACAAAAGCCCCUACCCAGACAUGGAUGAAGGCCAAGCUAGUCAGUAAGUCCAUUACUAACUCAUCUUGUUCAUUUGUUAAACACUUCCAAUUGCAAACACUAAUGUUGUUGGCCUGUUGUGCACCUCUAGGCCUACCCCAGGACCAGGGGCAAGCUGAAGCCUGUUGCCUGUUGGACUUGGAGACUUGGACUGUUGCAGUGUUGCCUGAAUGCCUAUUGGAGUGUUGGUGUUGGCUUGGCGGCUUGGCCAGUUGUUCAACUUCAAAGAUGUUAUGUCUGUGUGUGUGUCUCAAACUCUCAAUGUCUGUAGACUGUAAUGUUGAAUUGAACUAUUCUUGAGCUGGCUGUACUCUUUUUCCCUUCCUAAGGUUUUCUCACAAGCGUGAGUUUUUACCUAGGAAGGUUUUUAAUGAGCCCGCCAACACUUGAUCACAUAGAUCAAGUGUUAACAGCUCUAAUAAUUCCUUUAUUAUGAUUUCUGACUUUCUGUGUCACUGUGUGAUUGUGUCCAUGUGAUGAAUGUGUCAUGUGUGAUUAUGCCAACACUUGAUUAACCUUCUAUUUUGAUUUUUGAAUGUUUGAUAAACUUGAAAUUUUUUGAAUGUGUCAUGUGAUGAAUGUGUCUGUGUUUUUUUCCUCUUGACGGGCUGUGGGCUGGCUCGACCCGUAAAAAUGGCCGGGCUCUUCGGGCCGACCCAGCAUAAAAGUGUUAACGUGACGGGCUAGGCCCGGCACGAAAACGAACAGGCCAUGCCGGGCCCAUGCCGGACCGGGCCGGGCGGCUCGAAUGGACAUCUAUACGCACAGCUAUAAAAUCCCAAGUGUUGGCUGACUUCAUCGUUGAUUGGACCUCACCUAAACAAGAACCAAAGCAGCUAGAAACGCCAUGGGUCGUUCACUGCGACGGAGCAUGGUGCCGCAGAGGAGCAGGUGUCGCAGCGGUGGUCACCUCGCCAACAGGCGUCAGAAUCAAGUACGUAGCGAGGCUGGACUUCCCACCAACUGCGAAGUCAACCAACAACACCACAGAGUACGAGGGGCUGCUCCUGGCCUUAAGAAAAAUGAAGGCCAUAGGGCAGCAAACAUUCAUCAUCAGAACAGACUCGAAGGUAAUCUGUGAUCACAUCGAGAAGGAUAGCGAAGCCAAAGAACCAGAACUCAUCAAAUACCUCCAGGCAGUCCGAGCCAUGGAAAAACAUUUCAAUGGAUUUGAUGUCAAAAACAUACCGAGAGCACAAAAUGACGAUGCCGACAAGCUCGCAAAGGUAGCAGCGGAAGGCGAGCCAAUUCCACCAGAUACAUUCUACAAAGUCAUAACAUCACCUUCAAUCAAAGAAGAAGACCCAGCCACCAUCAACGCCAUCCAGCGUUACGACUGGCGCGCAAGCAUAAUGGCUUUCCUCAGAGGCCACUUUGAACCUCAGAAUGAGGCUGAAUGCACACGCCUAAAGCAAAGAGCAAAGGGCUACGCAAUCAUUGAGGGGCAGCUAUACAAAACAGGCAUCUCAACACCAUGGCUUCGGUGCGUCAACUACGAAAUAUGCAGCGAACUGCUGAAAGAAAUACACGGCAGCUUCUGCGGAGCUCAGAUUGGCUCAAGAGCCCUGGCAGGAAAAGCAAUCCGACAAGGGUUCUACUAGCCAUCAAUCCACACGGACGCACAUCUACUUGUACGAAGCUGUGAAGCAUGCCAAAAAAUAGCAAGGCAAACACAUGCACCCUCACUCCCCAUCCAGCUCAUACCACCCUCGUGGCCUCUCUAGAGAUGGGGGAUGGACCUAGUUGGUCCACUUCCAGCAGCACAAGGAAAUUGCAGAUUCGUAGUGGUGGAAAUAGACUACUUCACUAAAUGGGCUGAAGCCAAGCCACUUGCCGUCAUCACAUCAGCUUCGGUGCAAAAAAUUUUCUGGCAAAACAUUGUCUGUCGGUUUGGAGUCCCAAGGGAGCUAACCGUCGACAAUGGCAAGCAGUUUGAUUACAUCUCAUUCACGGACUUUUGCGCCAGCAUAGGCACGAAGAUAAAAUUCUCGUUCGUAUACCACCCACAAUCAAACGGAGCUGUGGAAAGGGCCAACAACACAAUAUUUACAGUAGUCAAGAAAUGUCUCUUCGAUCAGAAAAAGGGUAAAUGGGUCGACGAGCUUCCAAGAGUCAUAUGGUCCCAUAACACAACAAUAUCCAGAGCAACAAGCUUCACCCCAUUCAAGCUCAUAUUCGGGGCCGAAGCUGUAACACCUGAAGAAAUAAAAAACAAAAGCCUAAGAGUCCUCAAGCAAUCGUCAGAAUAGAGAAAGACAUGAUCGAGCUUGACAUCAACGAGGCCAUUGAGAACCCGGACAAAUACCAAGAAGAAACCCGAAGAUGGAGGGAUCAACGCAUUCGAGAAAGACAGAUCAAUGUCGGUGACCUCGUCAUCAAAAGGAAGAAGAAUUGGGAAAACCCAGGCAAACUACAAGAGGUCUGGGAAGGCCCUUACACUGUCGCAAAGAGUGGCAGACCCGGCUCCUUCCAUCUCACAGACCAACAAGGAAACACUCUCCCACACACCUGGAACAUCGACAGUCUUCGAAAGUACUACCCAUAAUUGUACACGUUACCUCCGACCUGCGGAGCUAUAAGCAGCGCCGAAGGCAACAAAGUGAUUUUACCCACUUCUUUCUCUUUUAAGCUUACCUCAUUUGUAAGGUCAUAGAGUCUGGUCUGCACUCUUUUCCUUGCUAGGGGCUCCAUAAUGGAGGCAAGGUUUUUAACGAGGCAGAUCCAUGUACACCUUUCCUACAAAGAAAGAAAAAAGAUUUCCCCGAAGAAUGUUUUUUGUUUGAGAAAGCAACAACAAGUUGCGUAACCUCGCGCCAGUACGCGGAGGAGUUUUCCGUUUAAGAAAGCAACAACAAGUUGCGUAUCCUCGUGCCAGUACGCGGAGGAGUUUUUCAUUUAAGAAAGCAACAACAAGUUGCGUAACCUCGUGCCAGUACGCGGAGGAGUUUUUCAUUUAAGAAAGCAACAACAAGUUGCGUAACCUCGUGCUAAUGCGCAGAGGAGUUUUUCGUUCAAAGAAAGCAACAACAAGUUGCGUAACCUCGCGCCAGUGCGCGAAGGAGUCUCUCGUUUAAAAAAAAGCAACAACAAGUUGCGUGACCUCGCGCCGGUGCGCGGAGGAGUUUUUCGUUCAUUUCGUUUGAGAAGCAACAACAAGUUGUGUAGAAUCACAUUCAAACACACAAAAAACAAACCUCUCGAAUACAGCCUCGGCAGAUGGGCAACGACGUUUUUUCGAAAGAACGUGGAAAGUUUCUACGACCUCGCAAGAGGAGAAUCUCCAAGCACAAGUUAUCUAACCUCUCUCUCGCAAGGUUGCAAAAGGGGGGGUGACGUUUUUCGAAAACACUUCCAAACACAUCCACUUCCGGAAACAAGUUACCACGCCAACCUCGCACGAGAUCAACCAACGUAAGGUCCAACGACGUGUACAGUUAUGGUUGAAGCAACCACAAGCCGUUGUAUCAACAAGCUCUCACAGCAACUAAGUCAGCAGGUUGCCCGACAUGGCAACCCAACUUCGACUUAUCUAACUUUGCAAUUGGCCCACGAAUAAACGGAACUAAACUACAGCACUUUAAAAAAAAUGCACAGGCACAUGAGUAUUUCAUAAGGCACAACCUCGUACACAAUCAAAAGUAUUUGACCUCAUCACCUUUACAUAAAAAUAAAAAACAAGUCAAUAAAUAAACAAUCUACUCUGCAGCAUCCCCCUCUUCGUUAGUAGCACUAGGCUGCGAAUGAAGCUGAGCUAAUCGCUCACAAGGUAGCCUCUUCACGUAUUCCUGCCCGAAGGUUGACCACAUGCACUCGAAUAAAUUCUUCUUCGCAUUCUCCACAACAAAAGACUUCGUGGCGCAUCCAAUAUCUUGGGCAGCCGGUGCAACAGAAUUGUCCUCGGAAAUAUUUUUAAUAUGCUCGCAUCCUUGUUGCUCCAGCAAGUGAAGGGCGCUUUCCAGGUAGAACACGGCGGAGUAGUCAUUCAGGCCCUCAAGAACCUCGGGGAGACUCUUGACCUCGUCUAGCAACCAUUCGAACAUGCGCUCACAUCCUUCAUCCAAUGGGCAAUCAUCGGGUUCAGUGCCAAACACACCAAGGGAGGCUUUGUAAGCUUCAUGAACUUUUUCGAACCUCUCCCUUAGUGUAGUUUCUAUCUGGCUCAACAACUUUGCCCUCGUUUCUAGCUCAGGCUCCAUCUGGCCAACCUUAGCUUUUAAGCCCGAGAUAACCUCACUAUCCCGCUUGGCACCUUCGCGCAAGUCUUGGAUAACCUUGUCUUUCUCUUUAACCAGCAUCUCAAGAUCCACCACUUCUAAUGACAAGCAAUAGAGCUCGUUUCCCCUGGCCUCGUAAUUUUCGCCAAGUCUGCGAGAGUCCUCUUUCAACUCCGCAUUCUCAAGCUUGACCUUUUUCAUUUCUAGGGACAUAGCUACAAUAGUCGCUUCAAGUGAAGCCACUUUCUUCGCAAGUUCCGCAACUGACUUCUCGCUCUUGGCAAGCCGAUCCCUUGUAAUCAUAGACGAGUAAGAAAUCUGCAAAAUCCAAACAAAGAACAUUAGACCAAGUCGCAGCAGACGCAACAAAGGUAGUGCACAUCACACGUAUCAUCAAAUCGGCCAGUAGCCAUAGCUUCUUUAUGAGGUUGGCCUCCAAGUUCAAAAGCUCCUCCGAGCUCAUACCCUUUACAGAUUGCUGAAAAUCUGUGAGUCAAACAUACAAUUAUAAGUAUACCACAACAGCUACGAAGUCCACAAACAAUAAUCACUCACAAGCGGCCAUUACCUUCGUACCCCCGCGCCUCGACGGCGACCGGACCAAUCUCUUUACCCCUACCCGAAGCCGCCACACCCACUUUCUCCAUCUUCUUCGAACCUCCAGCAUCUGCACAGCGCUUACAAUCCUCACCCUCCUUCGCCCAUUCCAAAAUUAGGUUAUGUGGAUUAUAAACCCUACCUUCGGCGCAUGUCGCUAGAACCUCCGUGCGCUCGCUCAAGCCCAGACCUUCGUUAAGCCCUUGCAGACCAGCCGGCAAUUUCUCACCUACAUCAUAACAUUUAACUUUCAGCCUUACAUGAUCCUCACAACUAACCUCGCCAACCUUCCCCAUAGUUGCCUCCAAAUCCCUCGAAAAUGACGCCGAAGCCCUCCCGCAAUCAAAGAACCGAAGCUUCGGCAAAACCACCUCUACAUGCUUACCAGAUCUAAUAGCCUCGGCACUAGCACCCUUAGGAUCAGACGAAAACGCAUCCACAAGCUUUGCCUUUUCGGCAGCUACCCUCUCCUCAUGCUUCUCGGCUUCAACCAAAAGAGACUGCGCGCCCUUAACCUUUGAGCUUGUGGAAGAAGGUGCAAUCUUGCUGCUGGCCCCCGAAGGCGCAUCGGCCUUGGCACACGGUACAAUAACACGUGCAAAACGAGGUUUGUUAGCCCCUUUUUAAGUCUAAGCAGGAGGGCCUGCGGAUGAAGGUGCAUCAGUAGGAGGACGCACGGAAACAUGCACAACAUAUGCUGGCCUGCUCAAGUCAAUAGACAAAGCCAUCGACCCAGACGGCAGCACGGCAAACGAACCUCCCGCGGUAGCAUCUUUCCUUUUCUGCACUUCCAAGUUAAGGGUUUUUUGCUUCGCCUUGGCGGCUGCUUGUGACUCAACAACAAGCUUCGUCGUGCGAGCAGAAUCAAAUUUCACCUUCUUCCUUUGCUCAGCACCAGCACCCCGACGACGCCUCUUGCCCACAACCUUGGGACGAGGUGGCACUGCGAUGUCAAGCAAGUCAAAAAUCUGAUUAACACACCACCCGUGUCUCACAACAGAUUCGAAAGAGCGCCUUUCGAGCUGGGUCACCGGACCCAAAAUCUCGUAAGCCAUGUCUUCUACUGACUGUACAAACAAGUCCAAGUCGCCAACCUCAUCCUUGUUAAGUUCAAAGCAAGGGAACGGCACAGCUUUCUCGCUCCAAGAUACCUUCUUCUCAACGAGCUUAAGUGGCUUCGCAAAAUCAGCAGACAAAGGCCACGCUCGGGCAGCGACGUACUCCUCCACAAGAUCACGCCCAGAUAUCAAGAGCCCAGCAACCCUGUAAGCAGCUUCGCACUUCAUCACAAUGGCUGUCUGGAUAAAUGAAGGAGUUGUCAGCACGUCCAUCGGCCCAAACUGCGCAUAGAAUGGAAAUCCAGUGCCAAGGCCGGCCAUUUCAAAUUUCACAUAAAACCAAUGCGUCAGCCACGCGCCAUCCCACUUGUUCCUCUGCGCGAAGGUAAGUUCUACCCUCGGCAGAUUCCUCUUAUCGUUCUUCCGACGCGGCACGAAGGUAGAGCAUCCAAAAUGAUUUUCACAAACACCCUUACCAUCAUCAGAAUAAGUCCUCUUCUUCUGAAUGUGAAGCUCAUGUAACCUCGCGAAACCCUCUACAUCAACGCUCCCACCAAACGUGCGUUGCACCCAAUAGAACUUAGACAAGUUCACGAUGGCGUUGGGGGUCAACUAGUGCAGCCUAACACGAUAGCGAUCCAAUAUAACCGGCAGCUGCCUAUCGUAGGGAAACCGAAGCCCCGCAAUAAACAUAUCCCUAAAAACAACAGCUUCGCCGACCUUGGGCGUCGGAACCGCCUCGUUCCCAGGGGCUCUGCCCAUCCCCUUAGGGAAAAAGUUGCUCUCCUCAAAAAGUGUAAUGUGUUGCGAAGUCACCUGGGAGCGCCCAAAAUAAAGAGUAGGAACGCACGGAACCUUCCCCCCGACGGAUGCCUCCGGCCUCACCUCAACCUCAGCAUCCUCCUCCUCCUCCCCCUCAACCUCGUCGGCAUCCUUACCUUCUUCCUCGUCCGAGGAUACAGCAUGAACCUCGGUUCCCCUUGUACCUUUUGAGCCUUGGCCCAUUUCACCUUCACCUUCGCCCCCAUCAGAGGACCAAUCAGGCGAACUGCUCCCCGAAGAUCCCUCUUCUGCAGAAACUAGGCCAUCCUUCGUAUAGAUCUGCUUCUUUGACCUCUUCCCCCCAGACUCUCCACUGCUCGCAGACACCGACUGCGAAGCAGGGCUACCUCCACCACCAGGGGCAACCUGAAGGGCCAACUCCUUCGAAGACAUUGUCUGCAACUCUUCCUGGUGCUAACUGCCACAAAAAUGAAGUCAACACCCCACCAAGAAAACAGAGCCAAUAAAACACAACGAACUGCGCAGUGAAGGCAAAAGUGGCAAAAAAUGCAGCUCGAAAGCGACAGCGUAAAAUAUGGCCCACCCCCCCCGGCAAACCUUAUAUAGGCACAUAAAAACCGCCUCGAACCAUUAACCGCCACAUAAAAAAUAACCUUACUACCCCCAUAUAACGGUGAAACGCCUCAGCCCGCGCCGCCCUUAAGGGUGAUGUUUUGAGGGCGUUUUUGGACUUUUCGCGGGAUCGGUCGAUGGCGCCUCGGACCUCACCCAUGAAGGGGCUACUGUUGGGGACCGCCCCACAACACACCCUGAACGGCGCUAGCGGGGACCCUCUCUCUCAAUCGACUCCAACCUCAUCACCUUCCCCCCUUACGAAGCUAGUAGAUAACCGAAGUCAACUAUCACGAAGGUGUCCACUAUGUUGUUUUGCAUGCAAGGACUCGUGAAGUUAAAUCCCACACGGAGCCCUCGGCGGUUUGGCUUCGGGAAGAUUCCAUGACUAGAAGCUGAAGUUAGCUAACUUCGACCAAGAAGGCGGGAAGUCUGCGGAGGCUCGCUCGGUCUUGACGAAGCUUAUGAAUGAGGAGGAGGGUAAUCAAGAUAGCCUCGGGACCACUUUAUAGCAGGACGACUCUGUAAUAAGAAUCUUGUAAAAGGUUGGAUAUGUAAUUCCACCGUGGAAGCAAUAUUUUGGGUAGGAAUCAAGUUACUGUCCUGUACGGAAUAUUCUUAGGAUGUAGUGGUUGAGUAUGGGUAUAACGGGGAUACGGAAAUGUAACUUUAUGCCCCUAUAAAGGGAGAUGAACCGUCCCCCGGGGAGGGCAUUAAUUGUUGGAGGUAUGCCCUAGAGGCAAUCAUAGAGAUGAUGAUAUUCCAUUUGUAUCCAUGAUUUGUAUGUUGUGUUCAUUGAAUAUCCAUUGAAGGCUACUUGAAUUGAUUUGCAAUUAUGUGAAUUGUAUGUGAAACUCUUUACUUGUAUGGUUAUUCUAAAGUUGUCCCUAGUCGGAGUUCAUUUGAGGACACACAUGAAUAUUAGACUAGCACAUGUAUUAGUUGAUGACUAUGUUUCACAAGUCAUGGACAUGGAGAUGUUGAACUAAUAAUGUGGACACAUGUGGAGACAUGUGCUAGGACUGACCCAACACGAGAAGUAGUUCUCUCUUUAAACAACAUAUACGCUUUGUCCUUAGACCUGAGAUUGUUGCAUGUGUUUGUAGGGAUACGAGGUAGGCUACGCUAGCGUAAAUCAAAAUUUCUACCGCGUAUAACCAGGAAGAACUGCCGUAUAAGGAUCACGGGAUUACCACUCGACGCACUACUGGUGCGGAAGAUGUAGAUAUGCGUCGGUGCAGUGAAGACAAUCACGUAGUCGUACGUAGUCGAUCAACGUAGUCGUACGUAGUCGAUCACGUCCAGCAGCUCCUCAGCAGCUCGUCCACGUGCACAGCAAGAUCGCCUCCGGUGCCGCGGCUCGUCGUCGGCUCGUCGUGGCUCGUCGGCAGCUCGUCGAUGGCUUGUCCAAGUGCUGCAGGCGCAACACCUCCAAGGUAUCCACACGUGCAGGGAGGAAGCGUCGCAAGCCGGACUGCUAGAUCCGCGAGUUGCAACAGGCGAGGGCGUGGGAGGCGCGGCAAGUGUGUUCAGCCAAAAGGUGUGAAACCCUAGGGCGCCCCCACCCCUCUAUUUAUAGGGGUUCCUGAUGGGCCUCUGGAUCCGAGGCCCAUUAGUACUCCUAAACCUAAUCCAACUCGGAUCAAAUCCGAAUUGGGCUUCCAGCCCCUUAAGUGUGCGACCCUUUGGGUUCGGAUACGUAUAGACAUGGCCCGAGUACUCCUACUCGGCCCAAUAGUCGGUAGCGGCCUCUAGCAAGGCGUGCCAACUCCUAUACGCACACGAAGAUCAUAUCAGACGAACCAUCACAACAUAAUAUACAUGCUAUUCCCUUUGCCUCACUAUAUUUGGUCUAGCUUCAAGCCGACCGCUCUUUCUCGAUCCUGUGAUUCGGAAUCCCUUUGUAGGUUAACUCUUAACCGUACGUAGCAUGGCCAUGCAUUUUCGGAUCCGAUCACUCGAGGGGCCCAGAGAUAUCACUCUCAAUCAGAGAGGGGCAAAUCCCUUCUUGAUUGACCAUGUCUCAUAGCAUGCUUCUUGACAAACCCGAAAGCUACCUUUAUAACUACCCUGUUACGGCGUAGCAUUUGAUAGCCCCUAAGUAGGUCGAUCCACAUCUAGAAUACAUGCGACAAUCUCAGGUCUAAGGACAAAGCGUAUAUGUUGUUUAAAGAGAGAACUACUUCUCGUGUUGGGUCAGUCCUAACACAUGUCUCCACAUGUGUCCACAUUAUUAGUUCAACAUCUCCAUGUCCAUGACUUGUGAAACAUAGUCAUCAACCAAUACAUGUGCUAGUCUAAUAUUCAUGUGUGUCCUCACAUGAACUCCGACUAGGGACAACUUUAGAAUAACCAUACAAGUAAAGAGUUUCACAUACAAUUCACAUAAUUGCAAAUCAAUUCAAGUAGCCUUUAAUGGAUAUUCAAUGAACACAAUAUACAAAUCAUGGAUACAAAUGGAAUAUCAUCAUCUCUAUGAUUGCCUCUAGGGCAUACCUCCAACAGUCUCCCACUUGCACUAGAGUCAAUCUAGAAGGUACCUAAUACCCAUAGCUCUUACAUGCGCAUCUUUGCUUAGCCUGCGGGAGUGGUUUUGUCAACGGAUCAGAAAUGUUCAGAUCCGUGUGUAUUUUGCAUAUCUUGAUCUCACCCCGGUUAACGAAGUCUCAAAUGAGAUGAAAUCGUCGCAUUACGUGUUUGUUCUUCUGGUGGUUCCUUGGCUCCUUUGCUUGCGCAAUUGCCCCAUUGUUAUCACAGUAGAGAUUCAAUGGGCUGGACGCAUUCGGGAACACACCAAGCUCAAUCAGGAAAUUCCUUAUCCAAACACCUUCCUUCGCGGCUUCCGAAGCCGCGAUGUACUCGGCUUCUGUCGUAGAAUCGGCCACCGUCUCCUGCUUGGAACUCUUCCAACUAACAGCACCACCAUUUAGCAUGAACACAAAUCCUGAUUGUGACUUUGAAUCAUCUCUGUCGGUUUGGAAACUAGCAUCGGUGUAACCUGUUACAACGAGCUCCUCCUGACCUCCAUAGACGAGGAACAUAUCUUUAGUCCUUCUCAAGUACUUAAGAAUGUUUUUCACCGCUGUCCAGUGACUCUCACCUGGAUCAGAUUGGUGUCUACUUGUCAUACUUAGCGCAUAUGAAACAUCUGGGCGAGUACUUAUCAUUGCAUACAUGAUAGAUCCAAUAGCCGAGGCAUAUGGCACUCUACUCAUGCGAUCCCGCUCAUCAGUAGUCGAAGGACACUGAGUCUUGCUGAGAUGUAUGCCAUGUGACAUAGGCAAGAACCCUUUCUUUGCCUCUUCCAUGCUGAACCGCUUCAACACUUUGUCAAUGUAAGUAUCUUGGCUUAAACCUAUAAGCCUUCUCGAUCUAUCUCUAUAGAUCUUAAUACCCAGAAUAUAUGCCGCUUCCCCUAAGUCCUUCAUCGAAAAACUAUUUUUCAGUGAAGUCUUUACGGACUCAAGCAUAGGAAUGUUAUUUCCAAUCAGUAAUAUGUCAUCCACAUAUAAGAUUAGAAAUACUACAGAGCUCCCACUAACCUUCUUGUAAACACAAGACUCUUCUUCGUUUUUGAUGAAGUCAAACCCUUUGACCACUUCAUCAAAACGAAUGUUCCAACUCCUAGAUGCUUGCUUCAAUCCAUAAAUGGAUCUCUGAAGCUUGCAUACCUUUCCAGCAUUUUUCGGAUCGACAAAACCCUCGGGCUGUAUCAUAUACACGUCCUCAGCUAGGUUUCCAUUCAGGAAAGCUGUCUUGACAUCCAUCUGCCAUAUCUCAUAAUCGAAAUAUGCAGCUAUAGCUAGAAUAAUCCGAAUGGACUUAAGCAUCACUACGGGCGAGAAGGUCUCGUCGUAGUCAACUCCUUGAACUUGUCGAAAACCUUUUGCGACAAGUCGUGCUUUGUAGAUGUGAACAUUUCCAUCCAUGUCCUUUUUCUUCUUAUAGAUCCACUUGCACUCUAUGGCUUUAACACCAUCAGGCGGGUCAACCAAGUUCCAAACUUGAUUGUCUCCCAUGGACUCUAUUUCGGAUUGCAUGGCACUCUGCCAUUUUUCGGAGUCUGGGUCCAUCAUUGCUUCUGCAUAUGUCGCAGGCUCAUCAUUGUCCAACAAUAAUAUUUCUCGCAUUUCGCGGAGCCUUGCUGACCUUCGUGGUUGUGGCGGUGCUUCUCUUGCCAUGGGUAUCUCAACUUGUUCUGCUACGUUAGCAUCACUCAUUGAUUCUUGCCCGAUUGGCUCAUCUUGAACUUCUUCAAGAUGCACUGUCUUUCCACUCUUUUCUCCUUUGAGAAACUCUUUCUCUAGGAAAACCCCGUUCCGAGCGACAAACACUUUGCCUUCUGAUCGGUUGUAGAAAUAAUAUCCCAAAGUUUCCUUUGGAUAUCCCACGAAAAUGCACUUAUCCGACUUGGGUGUGAUCUUGUCCGACUGAAGUCGCUUGACAAACACUUCACAUCCCCAAAUCUUUAGAAAAGACAAACUAGGAACCUUUCCAGUCCACAUCUCAUAUGGUGUCUUAACUACGGAUUUAGAUGGUACCCUAUUAAGUGUGAAAGCUGCUGUUUCUAGAGCGUAUCCCCAAAAUGACAACGGUAGGUCCGACUGGCUCAUCAUUGAUCGAACCAUGUCUAACAAAGUUCGAUUACAUCGCUCGGACACACCGUUUCUCUGAGGUGUUCCAGGCGGCGUAAGUUGUGGAACAAUUCCGCAACUCUUUAGAUGAUUGCUAAACUCGUGGCUCAAAUACUCGCCUCCACGAUCAGAUCGUAAGGCCUUAAUUUUCUUGCCACGCUGAUUUUCAACUUCAUUCUGAAAUUCCUUGAACUUUUCAAAGGUCUCAGACUUGUGCCUCAUCAAGUAGACAUAGCCAUAUCUACUAAAAUCAUCAGUGAAAGUUAUGAAGUAUUGGAAUCCUCCUCUAGCCGUCGUGCUCAUUGGUCCGCAUACAUCACUAUGUACGAGUUCCAACAAGUCUACUGCUCUCUCAGGAAAACCUGUGAAAGGCGUCUUGGUCAUCUUGCCUAGCAAGCAAGCCUCACAUGUCUCGUAUGAUUCAAAAUCAAACGAACUUAGAAGUCCAUCAGAAUGGAGCUUCUUCAUGCGCUUAUCACUUAUAUGACCCAAACGACAAUGCCACAAGUAGGUAGGACUCAAAUCAUUAGGCCGAGGCCUUUUAGCACUUACAUUACAGACAGGUGAACCAUCAAGAUUUAAAACAAAUAAUCCAUUCACAAUGGGUGCAAAAGCCAUAAACAUAUUAUUCUUAGAGAUCACACAACCAUUGUUUUCACUCGCAAAUGAAUAACCAUCCUUCAUCAAACAUGAAGGAGAUAAAAUGUUUCGACUUAAACUAGGAACAAAAUAACAAUUAUUCAACUCCAUAAUAAAUCCUGACGGGAGGUGGAGUUGCAUCGUCCCGACGGUCAAAGCAGCAACUCUUGCAUUAUUGCCCACGCGGAAAUCAACUUCUCCUCUUUCCACGCUUCUACUUCUUAUCAUUCCCUGCAUCGAAUUGCAAAUAUGAGCAACCGAUCCGGUAUCAAAUACCCAAGAAUUAAUAACUGUAUCAGCGAGAAAUAUGUUGUCUAUAACAUAAACAACAAGCGUACCUGAGGUAGAAGUACUCUUACUUCCGCCGUUCUUCAAGGAAGCUAGGUACUGCUUGCAGUUUCUCUUCCAGUGACCAAGUUCAUGACAGUAAAAGCACUCUUUAUCUGGAGCAGGUCCAGCUUUAGCCUUGGGCGGUGGGUUUGGCUUGGACGUUCCAGCCUUGCCCUUCUUCUUCCAAGAAUUGCCCUUCUUCUUAAAGCUGGGCUUGUUCUGUAUCGCCAUCACAUGGCUGGUACUAGCGCUUUUCUUGAUGUCAGCCUCUGCUGUUUUAAGCAUGCCACACAGCUCAUUCAGACCCUUCUCCGUCCCAUGCAUAUGGUAGUUCGAGAUGAAGUUCCCAUAGCUAGCCGGAAGAGAUGAAAGAAUGAAAUCAGUGGCCAACUCUUGGCCCAGUGGGAAGCCUAGCUUCUCCAACCGUUGAGUGUAACCAACCAUCUUGAUUACGUGUGGUCCUACUGCUGCGCCUUCUGCUAGCUUGCUCUCAACAAAGGCCUUAGACACAUUGAACCUUUCAGUCCUGGCCUGUGUUUGGAACAUGUCUCUAAGCGCCAUGAUCAUAUCGUGCGCCUCAUGGUUUGUUUCGAACUGCAUCUGCAGCUCGGGUUCCAUGCAAGCAAGCAUAAGGCAGCUUACUUCGAGGUUAGCAUCACAUGCUUUCUUGUAAGCAUUCUUAGCAGCAGCGGGUGCAUCCUCAGCAGGUUCUUCUGGUAGUGGGUUGUCUAGAACAUCUUCCUUUUUCUCAGCCCUGAGAACAAUUCUCAGGUUGCGGAUCCAAUCCGAGUAGUUUGUUCCAUUCAACUUGUCCUUCUCAAGGACCGAACGCAAAGCAAACGAUGUGGUGGUGUUGCUAGGUGCCAUUUAAUCUACAACAAAAGUAAUGCAAAAUACACUAAGACAAACGUAUCCAUGAUAGAGCAAAUUACAUUAAACUAUUUUAACAGAAUCUACUCCCACUAAAAUCAAUAUCCCUCUAUUGAAACUUAGUGAUUCAGGAUCCACAACUAACAAGUCUACUAGUGAGCUUUAGCAUCACCGCUAGCAAACGAGGUAGAUCGGUAAGCAACUUUUGCUAAUCAUAUCACAUAUGACUCCUGUUGUUGGGUGACAUCUCUAUGUCUCGGCGCCCAACCUUUAUGCCCCAAGGUCCUUAACCGUUAAGAUGACCUCGUUAAGCUAACCAACCCUUAUGCGUGUAAGUGUCCGACACAAACCCGUCUAGUCAAGGAAAACUAGUGGCACCCUAAUUUCAUAGACCCACCACUAAUUGUACAAGACAUGGGACGGUGCAAGUUUUAGUUGGGAGGGCAUACUAACUUAAACUUUGCGAGGGAUCGUUCUACUUCUAACAUCACAGCAUGCAGAAAGUAAAACAUAAACAGAAUAGCAUUCACACAGUUGUGACACAGUAUGGCCCGUUUUUCAUAUGGUGAUCUCCAUCUCCAUAGAACCUGUUCACCAUGGUGAUCUCCAUCUCCAUGUUCCAUGUGCGCCAUCCUCCUGGUGAUGAGUCCUCCAAGAACUAGAGCAUGCUAUUAUGCCUAAUAGCUAGUAAAGAAUCUAGUAAUGAAGAUUACAUAGUUGCUUGGAUCAUCACAGAUUGGCACGCAGACCAUUAAAUACAAUAAAGUGACAACACAUAUGGCUCCUGCCGUGUUGCCGUACGCGCGACACGCAGGUCACGAAUGAGUUACACACAUGCAUCACAUACACAAGGGGCCAUACUGAUCACAAGAUACAUACAUCCUGCAAAAGAGAGUUAGGCGUCCUAACGUUCCAAACUUCGGAGGCCCGAAACUCCAUCUUCCAAGCCGAAUUUGGCAAAUCUAAUUUCGCCGAAAACGGCGAAGCGGUUGAAUUUCAUGUGUAACUUUUUCUGUAGAUCGAUUUUCAUAUAAAAUUCGCCCC
rnacentral:lncRNA from 1 species